ACACCCGGCAUGUUUGGUGAGAUCCCAAAGCAGGCACAAAGGCACCCCUUCCCCAUCACUGGAAUACAUGCUGUGGGCUGAAUGCUCCCUGGAUCUCCGUCUAUCACCAGGCAUGAGGAGCAGAAGGGGGCUGGACCCAGAUUACUCAUGCAGAGGUUGCUGUGUUCUUGGUCAUCGCUGUAGUAGCUGAAAACUUGCUAGAUGGGCUAGACAAGCCACAACACAGAGCUGGGAGAUGUGCAUUGACUCCCUGAUAUGGACAGACUUGCAAGGACAGACCCAGUGCCUUCGAGGAAACUACCUGACACUGUAUCAGCAGGCGUUCUCUGUCCAUCCAGCUUUCCAUUCCCAUUUUCAUGCUAAAGCUGCAACACCAGCUACCUCUAAG